ACCCGCUGAACUUAAGCAUAUCAAUAAGCGGAGGAAAAGAAACCAACAGGGAUUACCUCAGUAACGGCGAGUGAAGCGGUAACAGCUCAAAUUUGAAAUCUGCCGCAAGGCCGAGUUGUAAUUUGUAGAAGAUGCUUUGGGUAUGGCCCCGGUCUAAGUUCGUUGGAACACGACGUCAUAGAGGGUGAGAAUCCCGUAUGUGACUGGGUGCUUUUGCCUAUGUAAAGCUCUUUCGACGAGUCGAGUUGUUUGGGAAUGCAGCUCAAAAUGGGUGGUAUAUUUCAUCUAAAGCUAAAUAUUGGCCAGAGACCGAUAGCGCACAAGUAGAGUGAUCGAAAGAUGAAAAGCACUUUGGAAAGAGAGUUAAACAGUACGUGAAAUUGUUGAAAGGGAAGCGCUUGCAACCAGACUUGCACGCUGUUGAUCAUCCAGGCUUCUGUUUGGUGCACUCAACUGUGUUCAGGCCAGCAUCGGUUUUGGUGGUGGGAUAAAGGCCUUGGGAAUGUAGCUUCUUUCGGGGAGUGUUAUAGCCCUCGGUGCAAUGCCGCCUACCGGGACCGAGGACCGCGCUUCGGCUAGGAUGCUGGCGUAAUGGUUGUAAGCGACCCGUCUUGAAACACGG
rnacentral:rRNA from 1 species